UACGGAAGGCAGCAGUGGGGAAUAUUGCACAAUGGGCGAAAGCCUGAUGCAGCUAUGCCGCGUGUAUGAAGAAGGCCUUAGGGUUGUAAAGUACUUUCAUCGGGGAGGAAAAAACAAAACUAAUAAUUUUAUUUCUUGACGUUACCCGAAAAAGAAGCACCGGCUAACUCCGUGCCAGUAGCCGCGGUAAUACGGAGGGUGCUAGCGUUAAUCAGAAUUACUGGGCGUAAAAGAGCACGUAGGUGGUUUUUUUAAGUCAGAUGUGAAAUCCCUGGGCUUAACCUAGGAACUGCAUUUUGAAACUGAAAAUACUAGAGUAUCGUAGAGGGAGGUAGAAUUCUAGGUGUAGCGGUGAAAUGCGUAGAUAUCUGGAGGAAUACCUGUGGCGAAAGCGGCCUCCUAAACGAAUACUGACACUGAGGGUGCGAAAGCGUGGGGAGCAAACAGGAUUA
rnacentral:rRNA from 1 species